GUCUCAGUCAGCCUGACUCUCCGAAGACCAUGCAGAGAGCAGUGUGGGAGCUGUCCUAGACAAUCAGGAAAUUUAGGAUCCACAGGGUGGGAGACUAAGACCUCCUACAUAGGCUGUUUUCCAUGUUAUCAAGUCCCCACACUGAAGAGGACACCUUUUCUCAUCAUCCAAGAGUCGGAUAAUUUCUAAGCCAGGGCAAGGGUGGGACCACAGCUGGAUUCAUGGAGAAGGAUUUUAAGGAGGAGCUGUUUGCAUGCUCAACAAAUCCAGCAAACACAGCAGGUCAGCAAAGGCCAAGAUUCUAAGACUGCUUUGGAGAGGCCUCUCCUGAAGGUGCGGGAUUUGAAAAGAAACUCCUAAACACAGGAUACGAAGAGGCGUCACCUCAGAUGUCUCAAAAAGCUGGUCAUCUGUCCAAAUGGGCUCCACCCGCCCGGGUUUCAGAGGCUGGGGUCCUCCGUACCGGAGACGGAGAUGGUUUGGACCGGAAGUUCCCAAGGGUAGCCCCGGGUCGUGGCCUGCCCGCUGAGUCACUGGAGAUGAGAUGGUGUUGCAGUCACGAGAGCCCAAGACAAAGAUGGGAGCCCGAUCCCGUCCCCACCCCACCCGCCAAAAACUGAAUAGUAGUGUAAGGCCCGUCGGGAGUGGAGGAGCGAAACUCCUUCUGCUCCAUGAUGGGUGUGUCCCCUCUGGCCCAGCUCGGGGAGGGGCCGCCAUACACCCCCAGACACCACGGGGCUGCAUGUGACUAGUGCUCUGGCAUGGCCUCCUGCACCCCCGCCUAACCCCGUCUACACAGCUUCUCAAAGCUCCGGCGGGUGGGAAAGCGGGAGCUAGUCACCACUCAACACUCACAGACCACAACUGCCCGGGGAGUGUUUAGUGGGCAGGGGUACAGGUGUGGUUUUACUAGGGGAGGGGGGCGAGCAGGUCAUCUUGCGCAUGCGCCUGGGCGCCUUAUUGUUUCCCGCCCCCUCCCCUCCGUAACUCCGCUCGGGGCGGCGGCCACGACUAAAACAUGGUUGGGGAAGGGGCAAUAACUCUAUCGCCAGCCUCCAGUAAACCCCUUUUCUCUAAGCCUCAAGACAAAAAUUGCUUUCCCAUGCGUCCCACGUUAGUCCGCCAGCGUCCCUGCUGGCUUUCCCGUCCAGCCACACCCCCAGCACGCGCCCACUCCUGCCUUGCCGCCGCUCACCUUACGGUCGCUGACACCCUCGCCCACGGCCACCACCACGCCCGCGCCCUCUAUGCCGGGGGUGACCGGCAGCGGUGGCAGCCGGUCGUGCAG